ncrna:unclassified sequences L31-Actinobacteria ribosomal protein leader
GCGGUACCGGUUCACGCUCUGCUGGUUCUCCGGCNAGGCGACCCGGCGACC